GUACUGCUGAGGAGUCCCAUACUAAGGUGAAACGGCCUUCCAGUAC
rnacentral:hammerhead_ribozyme from 1 species